rnacentral:misc_RNA from 1 species
AGUCAAGUAGGCUUCACAGUGAGGGUUUAAAAGAUCAGCACAUAUAUACGAGUGUUGUUGGAAGUUCGUGGACAAGUUCGAUUAAUAGCAGACUUUUUGCAUGAUACCAGCGACAUUUUCCAGAUUUAAACGCAGUUUCUAAUAAAUAUGUAUAAAAAUUUGUUUUAUUUAAAUGCACCAUAAAACAUAUACAGCUUACUUAUUAUGCUUCACAGGCCAUGUCAUUUCUUUGCUUUAUACUUUGUACGCAUUUGUCCUUAUUAAUCAAAUGUACCGUUUAAGCGCAUAAAAAUGCAUACUUUUUCAUAUGACCUCACAAUACCAUAUUUACCAUUUUAUCACCGAAUAUGGACGACCAACGCUUGAAAAAUGAGUCAAAAACAUUAACGUCAAUGGACAUCUAGGAGCACCGGACGAUGGAGACCAAAAGGUUUAUCAAUGCUGAUGGAGAUAGCUUAGUGUGUCUAGGACAAACGUUUACAAAUGACAUCAGAGGUUUAAAUUGUCAUAUAAUUAUUUGAAAAACAUGUAGAUGAAUGCUGGAAAUUAAAAUGGAAGCAUUAAAUACAGAAAGUAAAUCAAGUUUUUACUUGUAUCAAAGUUCCCUUGUACAUUAUGCCCUUUUUGUUUGUAUAGCUUAUAUUUGCAUUUGUAAGCUUUUGUUAAGAAUAAUAAACAAUUCAAAUAAUGUU